GAGUUGUAAUCUUUGAGUUGGAAGUAAAUAAAAGUGUGAUGAUUUGCAUUAUUAGAGCAUUGUCCCGUGUGAGAGAAGGAUGAUGGAAGAUAUGAUUCCCUCACAAGUUGGGAUGAAUAUCCAUACUUCACAAAAAUAGAAGUGGCCAGCAAAGCCCAUAAAAAAUAAAAGAGGCCAAAUAAGCCCACCAAAAAGAAAAAAAGGAGAAACUAAAAAAGAAAAGGAAA
rnacentral:lncRNA from 1 species